AACGAACGUUAGCGGCGCGCCUAAGACAUGCAAGUCGAGCGAGAAAGGGAUUCGUCCCCGGUAAAGCGGCGCACGGGUGAGUAACACGUAGGUCAUCAACCCCCGAGUGGUGGAUAACCCUCCGAAAGGAGGGCUAAUACAGCAUGAUGUUAGCAAUAACCAAAGCGGGCCUCUUCACGAAAGCUCGCGCUUGGGGAUGAGCCUGCGGCCCAUCAGGUAGUUGGCGGAGUAAUAGCCCACCAAGCCAUAGACGGGUAGCUGGUCUGAGAGGAUGAACAGCCACACUGGAACUGAGACACGGUCCAGACUCCUACGGGAGGCAGCAGUCGGGAAUCUUCCGCAAUGGGCGAAAGCCUGAUGGAGCGACGCCGCGUGAGCGAUGAAGGCCUUCGGGUUGUAAAGCUCUGUGGGGAGAGAAGAAUAAGUUCAGGUCAAUACCCUGAAUGAUGACGGUAUCUCCUUAGCAAGCACCGGCUAACUCCGUGCCAGCAGCCGCCGUAAUAC
rnacentral:rRNA from 1 species